UACCGCGUGAGGGAAGAAGGCUUUUGGGUUGUAAACCUCUUUUGUCAGGGAAGAAGAAUUGACGGUACCUGAAGAAAAAGCAUCGGCUAACUCCGUGCCAGCAGCCGCGGUAAUACGGAGGAUGCAAGCGUUAUCCGGAAUCAUUGGGCGUAAAGGGUCCGCAGGUGGCGAAUAAAGUCUGCUGUUAAAGACCGGGGCUAAACUCCGGAAAGGCAGUGGAAACUGAUUAGCUAGAGUACGGUAGGGGUAGAGGGAAUUCCCAGUGUAGCGGUGAAAUGCGUAGAUAUUGGGAAGAACACCGGUGGCGAAAGCGCUCUACUAGGCCGAAACUGACACUGAGGGACGAAAGCUAGGGUAGCG
rnacentral:rRNA from 1 species